GGUCGGCUGGUGUAAAUGGUUAUCACGUCAGUCUAACAGUCCUUCUGGGAUUUGAACACUGAAGGUACUCGGAUCGAUCCCGGGGCCGAUCA